CCCUUAUGACCUGGGCUACACACGUGCUACAAUGGGCGGUACAAAGGGUCGCGAACCCGCGAGGGGGGAGCCAAUCCCAAAAAGCCGCUCUCAGUUCGGAUUGCAGGCUGCAACUCGCCUGCAUGAAGCCGGAAUCGCUAGUAAUCGCGGAUCAGCACGCCGCGGUGAAUACGUUCCCGGGCCUU
rnacentral:rRNA from 1 species